GACGAACGCUGGCGGCGUGCUUAACACAUGCAAGUCGAACGGAAAGGCCCUGCUUUUGUGGGGUGCUCGAGUGGCGAACGGGUGAGUAACACGUGAGUAACCUGCCCUUGACUUUGGGAUAACUUCAGGAAACUGGGGCUAAUACCGGAUAGGAUCUCCUGCUGCAUGGUGGGGGUUGGAAAUUUUCGGCGGUUGGGGAUGGACUCGCGGCUUAUCAGCUUGUUGGUGGGGUAGUGGCUUACCAAGGCUUUGACGGGUAGCCGGCCUGAGAGGGUGACCGGCCACAUUGGGACUGAGAUACGGCCCAGACUCCUACGGGAGGCAGCAGUGGGGAAUAUUGCACAAUGGGCGGAAGCCUGAUGCAGCAACGCUGCGUGCGGGAUGACGGCCUUCGGGUUGUAAACCGCUUUCGCCUGUGACGAAGCGUGAGUGACGGUAAUGGGUAAAGAAGCACCGGCUAACUACGUG
rnacentral:rRNA from 1 species